UACGGAGGGUGCAAGCGUUAUCCGGAUUCACUGGGUUUAAAGGGUGCGUAGGUGGGCAGUUAAGUCAGUGGUGAAAUCUCCGGGCUCAACCCGGAAACUGCCAUUGAUACUAUCUGUCUUGAAUAUCGUGGAGGUAAGCGGAAUAUGUCAUGUAGCGGUGAAAUGCUUAGAUAUGACAUAGAACACCAAUUGCGAAGGCAGCUGGCUACAGGGAUAUUGACACUGAGGCACGAAAGCGUGGGGGAUCAAACAGG
rnacentral:rRNA from 1 species